GACGAACCGUGCGAACGUUGUUCGGAAUCACUGGGCGUAAAGGGUGCGUAGGCGGGUCUUUAAGUCAGGGGUGAAAUCCUGGAGCUCAACUCCAGAACUGCCUUUGAUACUGAAGAUCUUGAGUUCGGGAGAGGUGAGUGGAACUGCGAGUGUAGAGGUGAAAUUCGUAGAUAUUCGCAAGAACACCAGUGGCGAAGGCGGCUCACUGGCCCGAUACUGACGCUGAGGCACGAAAGCGUGGGGAGCAAACAGG
rnacentral:rRNA from 1 species